UAGCUCCAAGAAUAUCCUCCAAGAUUUCUGAAACCCUAGUUUUCCGUAGGUUGAAUUCCAUGACUAAGGAAUUUGCAGUCCCGCCGGUGGUCUUUCCCUCCGGCGGAAACCAAUCAGUCGUCAGCAUCCAGAAACGGCGAGUCCCUUCGGCGCCGUUCCAGCCAUCUCGUGCCACAAACCCUAGCAUUCCCUUCAUGUCCUUCGAUAUCGGAUCCGUCACCACAGCAUCUCCCUCCCCCGCCACCCUGUACGGCGGUCCCAUGGGCGGCGCCACCACCUUCGAGGCCGAAGAACCCUUACUUGAUGAACUCGGGAUCCACCCAGACCAAAUCCGGAGGAAGACCCUUUCCAUCCUGAACCCGGUCCGUGUCAACGCCCAUCCCCACACAGACUCGGAUCUAUCCGGCCCUGUUCUCUACUACGUUGCCUUUUCUCUAUUCCAAUUACUCGCCGGGAAGAUCCAAUUCGGCGUAAUACUGGGUUGGAUCGUGGUUUCUUCCAUGUUUUUGUACGUUGUCUUCAACAUGUUGGCGGGUCGGACCGGAAAUUUGGAUCUUCAUCGGUGUACAAGCAUUGUUGGGUACUGCAUAUUGCCUGUCACCGUAUUCUCGGCGGUGUCCCUGUGCCUUCCGGCCGGCGGGGUGGUGAGUUUCGUCAUGGCGGGGUUUUUUGUGCUGUGGUCGACUCGCGUUUGUACAAGCCUUCUUGUCCAGUCUUGUCCUGAUUGCGAGGAGCAUGGAGGAUUGAUAGCGUACGCCUGUUUUUUGAUAUACACGUUGUUCGCAAUGCUUGUCAUAUUCUAAUGGGGCUCAUUGGAAACCUAAUUUUGGAAAGGUUGGAGGUGGGUGCUGUUGCUAAAUUAUUUAUUUGAACAAAGUGCUGUAUCUUCUGAUCCGUUGAGGUAGAUUGUUCUGUAGAUGACGAAGUAAGAAAGGAUUAAUGGUAGAGAUGCACCAUGAAUAAUUCUUGCGUCAGCAACCAGGUAGGAGGCCGAAAUAUUCUUACGUCAGCAACCAGUCAGGAGGCUGAAUUAUUCUUACGUCAGAGAUUCCAAGACUUUAUUAUGACUUUAUUCUACAUGGAAAUGUUUCAAAGGAAAAACCAAAGUGUACCAUUCGUUGAAUUUUCUUGGUCGGCACUUGGCCCGGACCUUUGAGGUACAUUAGAGAAUUUUCCUUGAGAAAAAAAUCGCCCCGUUCUUAUCAA